UACGUAGGGGGCAAGCGUUGUCCGGAAUUCAUUGGGCGUAAAACGCGCGUAGGCGGCCCGGUAAGUCCGUUGUGAAAAGUCCAAAGGCUCAACCUUUGAAUGCCGAUGGAUACUGCCGGGCUAGAGUCCGGAAGAGGCGAGUGGAAUUCCGUGGUGUAGCGGUGGAAUGCGCAGAUAUCAGGAGGAACACCGAUAGCGAAGGCAGCUCGCUGGGACGGUACUGACGCUGAGGCGACGAAAGCGUGGGGGGCGAACAGG
rnacentral:rRNA from 1 species